rnacentral:rRNA from 1 species
UAAAGUCAAAUUAAUUGGUUAAAGCUAAUAAAUAAUUACUGUAAAGUACUACAACUCUACUUAUUAUUAUAAGAGUAAAAUCUUUAUAAAUAAGAUAGGAGUGUGUUAAUGUAACAUUUAUUCUCUUACGAGGCGCUAACAUAAAGACUAGGAUUAGAUACCCUAUUAUGGGCGUGAGUACGAAAGUUUAUUAAGUUAAUAGCCUUAAUUAAAGCAAAAUCUAUUUACUAUGGCGGCUGUUAGUCUCACCAGAGUCGUAUGUCCUUAAACGAAACUGCGCGACCAUCUUACCUUUUAACUUUUGCUUAUAUAAAAUAAUUACGCUAUAGCAAUCUGGCACGUCGCUGUACUAAAAGUGAAGAUUUUAAAUAACUCAUCUUCUAAUUACUUACUAGCAUUUAUUAGUAACGUACAAGUCAAGACGCCGUUUUAAGAGGCUUAAGAUGUACGAUUUAAUUGAUUUGAUAGAAUUCAUAAGAAUGAAAACUUUCUUUAUUAAAAUAAUUUGGAAGUAAAAUAGGGUUAUUAUUCUUAUUUGAAAUGAGCUACUAAUAAGU